rnacentral:rRNA from 1 species
GGUAAUACGGAGGAUCCAAGCGUUAUCCGGAUUUAUUGGGUUUAAAGGGUGCGUAGGCGGGAUAUUAAGUCAGUGGUGAAAGUUUGCCGCUUAACGGUAAAAUUGCCAUUGAAACUGAUAUUCUUGAGAGUAUUCGGGGCAACUGGAAUGUGUAAUGUAGCGGUGAAAUGCAUAGAUAUUACACAGAACACCAAUCGCGUAGGCAGGUUGCCAGGUUACAUCUGACGCUGAGGCACGAAAGCGUGGGGAUCAAACAGGAUUAGAUACCCUGGUAGUCCACGCCGUAAACGAUGAUAACUCGCUGUUGGCGAUAUACCGUCAGUGGCUAAGGGAAACCGAUAAGUUAUCCACCUGGGGAGUACGUUGGCAACAAUGAAACUCAAAGGAAUUGACGGGGGCCCGCACAAGCGGAGGAACAUGUGGUUUAAUUCGAUGAUACGCGAGGAACCUUACCCGGGCUUGAAAUGCAGACGACCGAUCGGGAAACCGAUCUUCCAGCAAUGGCGUCUGUGUAGGUGCUGCAUGGUUGUCGUCAGCUCGUGCCGUGAGGUGUCGGCUUAAGUGCCAUAACGAGCGCAACCCUUAUCAUUAGUUACUAACAGGUUAAGCUGAGGACUCUAGUGAGACUGCCACCGUAAGGUGUGAGGAAGGUGGGGAUGACGUCAAAUCAGCACGGCCCUUACGUCCGGGGCGACACACGUGUUACAAUGGGGGGUACAGAGGGUUGCUACUUGGUGACAAGAUGCUAAUCUCUUAAAGCCUCUCUCAGUUCGGAUCGGAGUCUGCAACUCGACUCCGUGAAGCUGGAUUCGCUAGUAAUCGCGCAUCAGCCAUGGCGCGGUGAAUACGUUCCCGGGCCUUGUACACACCGCCCGUCAAGCCAUGGGAGCCGGGGGGACCUGAAGUACGUAACCGCAAGGAGCGCCCUAGGGUAAAACUGGUGACUGGGGCUAAGUCGUAACAAGGUAGCCGUACCGGAAGGUGCGGCUG